rnacentral:rRNA from 1 species
AACGCGCAGCGAGAGGUGCUUGCACCUUUCAAGCGAGUGGCGAACGGGUGAGUAACACGUGGAUAACCUGCCUCAAGGCUGGGGAUAACAUUUGGAAACAGAUGCUAAUACCGAAUAAAACUUAGUAUCGCAUGAUAUCAAGUUAAAAGGCGCUACGGCGUCACCUAGAGAUGGAUCCGCGGUGCAUUAGUUAGUUGGUGGGGUAAAGGCUUACCAAGACGAUGAUGCAUAGCCGAGUUGAGAGACUGAUCGGCCACAUUGGGACUGAGACACGGCCCAAACUCCUACGGGAGGCUGCAGUAGGGAAUCUUCCACAAUGGGCGCAAGCCUGAUGGAGCAACGCCGCGUGUGUGAUGAAGGCUUUCGGGUCGUAAAGCACUGUUGUAUGGGAAGAAAUGCUAAAAUAGGGAAUGAUUUUAGUUUGACGGUACCAUACCAGAAAGGGACGGCUAAAUACGUGCCAGCAGCCGCGGUAAUACGUAUGUCCCGAGCGUUAUCCGGAUUUAUUGGGCGUAAAGCGAGCGCAGACGGUUGAUUAAGUCUGAUGUGAAAGCCCGGAGCUCAACUCCGGAAUGGCAUUGGAAACUGGUUAACUUGAGUGUUGUAGAGGUAAGUGGAACUCCAUGUGUAGCGGUGGAAUGCGUAGAUAUAUGGAAGAACACCAGUGGCGAAAGCGGCUUACUGGACAACAACUGACGUUGAGGCUCGAAAGUGUGGGUAGCAAACAGGAUUAGAUACCCUGGUAGUCCACACCGUAAACGAUGAAUACUAGUGUUAGGAGGUUUCCGCCCCUUAGU